rnacentral:rRNA from 1 species
AGUGAACGCUGGCGGCAGGCCUAACACAUGCAAGUCGAGCGGCAGCGCGUCCGACCACCCUCGGGUGGUCGGAUGGCGGCGAGCGGCGGACGGGUGAGGAAUGCAUCGGAAUCUGCCUCGUUGUGGGGGAUAACGUAGGGAAACUUACGCUAAAUACCGCAUACGACCUACGGGUGAAAGUGGGGGACCUUCGGGCCUCACGCGAUGAGAUGAGCCGAUGCCGGAUUAGCUAGUUGGCGGGUAAAGGCCCACCAAGGCGACGAUCCGUAGCUGGUCUGAGAGGAUGAUCAGCCACACUGGAACUGAGACACGGUCCAGACUCCUACGGGAGGCAGCAGUGGGGAAUAUUGGACAAUGGGGGCAACCCUGAUCCAGCCAUGCCGCGUGUGUGAAGAAGGCCUUCGGUGUAAGACGACUUUGUUGGGUAGAACCGG